CUCAACGGAUAAAGUUACUCUAAGGAUAACAGGCUGAUCUCCCCACGAGUCACAUCGACGGGAGGGUUGGUCGACCUCCGAUGUCGGCGUCAUCGCAACCUACGGGCGGGUCGGCCUCCCGAAACGGGUAAGUCGGAGGGCGGCCCAAACGGUUAACCGUUCCAGAAAGUAGGUUCGGGAAACCGAACUUCGUCCAGAAGGUGCAAAGGACGAGAAAGGGGAAGGCUUGUACUGCGACACCGACCGGGUGGGAGCAGGUACGGAAAGUAAGGGCUUAGGUGAUCCGGUGGUAUUAAGUGGGAAUGGCCAUCGCUCAACGGAUAAAAGCUAACCCUGGGGGUCCAGGCGCCG
rnacentral:rRNA from 1 species